rnacentral:rRNA from 1 species
GUGUCAGCCGCCGCGGUAAUACGUAGGAGGCGAGCGUUGUCCGGAGUUACUGGGCGUAAAGGGUGCGCAGGCGGCCUACCGCGUGGGGGGUGAAAUCGCCCGGCUCAACCGGGCGGGGGCUUUCCAGACGGGUAGGCUUGAGGGGCGGAGAGGGGCGCGGAAUUCCGGGUGGAGCGGUGAAAUGCGUAGAGAUCCGGAAGAACACCGACGGCGAAGGCAGCGCCCUGGACGCCAUCUGACGCUCGGGCACGAAAGCGCGGGGAGCGAACAGGAUUAGAUACCCUGGUAGUCC